rnacentral:lncRNA from 1 species
GGAAGCUCCUGGCUAUACCCUGAGGCAACUAGGCCUAGGCGAACAGGAAGCUAGGUGGAACUAGGCCUAGGCAAGGCUGGGAAGCUUUCCAACUGACCCUUUCUUUGUCUCAGUUGAACUACGGUUAACCUCUGUUGGAGUCUGUCUGCGGGAAGGAACUCCCAGAACAAAGAAUUAUGGGAUUUAUAAUCAACAAUAUACAAAUAGCACUUCCCUCAUCAUCAGUUCUUGACUGGAGGGCCAUCUUGUGAUCAGUCUCGGAGAACACGCUCUUCUGAGUUGGCCCUGCCAAAAAUCUAUCUCUCUCUUCAUCUGCUUGCCAUUAGUCAUUAGCCAAAGAACACUGAGCAGCACUCAAGUGUGACGUCCACACAACCUUUUCUUCUUGUUUGUUGAGCGGCAUCUUGCCUCUGUACACAGUGUCUCCAAUUAGCUGGCCCAAUAGCCAACUCUUGGAACGACCUCCUACGAAACCACAAAGAGAUGUAAUCACAUUGCGUACGCCUCAGACGCUCAACAGUUAGCUUCUAGAGUGGUACAUGAGAUUCAGGGUCAUCAUCCCAACUCAUCUUUCAGGGAGUAAAGGAUUCCCAGACAGAGAUUUGCUGCCAGUUUUCCAUCGCUAUGAAGACCCUUUUCCUUCUCUUGAUUGUGGUCUUCCUGGUGUUUUUUCCUGAUGGAGGAUCCAGCAUGGCAAACAAUAGGAAAAAAUGUAAACGUGAAGGAGGCUUCUGCAUUCAGCCAAAGGGGAAUGUGUGUCUCUACCCUUCAAGGUUUAUCGGAAGCUGCAAUCAUGAACAACUCUGCUGUAAAAAAGGCAUCCAGCUUGCAAAGAAACAAGGCUAAUGACUCAACCAUGAAAAAGAAGACUUUCAGCAGCCACCUUCAUUCCAGUUUUCACUGCAAUUGCGAUCUUCUCUUCAUGCUCUUAAUGAUACUUCGAAGCAAAAAUGGAUCACAGAAAACAUUCUUAUGAGAAAUUCUGCAUUUAAUAAAAGCGAAUCGUACCAAAUUGUUCCA